ensembl:snoRNA
CUCCAUGUAUCUUUGGGACCUGCCGCCUGUGGCAGUCUCCCUUCCUAGCCAUGGAAGAGCAUGUUCUUGUUAUUGGCAAAGCUGUCACCAUUUAAUUGGUAUCAGAUUCUGACUUGGACAAGUGACAUUC